GUUGGUCUAGUGUUAUUCAGCAUAUCAAUUUUUCGUGUUGGUGGUAAUUUAUAUAUUGGCCGAUG
rnacentral:tRNA from 1 species